rnacentral:rRNA from 1 species
UACGGGGGGGGCAAGCGUUGUUCGGAAUUACUGGGCGUAAAGGGCUCGUAGGUGGCCAACUAAGUCAGACGUGAAAUCCCUCGGCUUAACCGGGGAACUGCGUCUGAUACUGGAUGGCUUGAGUUCGGGAGAGGGAUGCGGAAUUCCAGGUGUAGCGGUGAAAUGCGUAGAUAUCUGGAGGAACACCGGUGGCGAAGGCGGCAUCCUGGACCGGCACUGACACUGAGGAGCGAAAGCCAGGGGAGCAAACGGG